AGAGAGAGAGAGAGAGAGAGAGAGAGAGAGAGAGAGGGGAAAGGAAAGAAACAAGAGGCUGGCUUAUAGAUAGAGAGGUGUGUGUAUGUGUGUGUGAGAGAGAGGGAUAGAGAAAGAAGAGAGAAGAUAAGAAAAGAGAAAAACAGAUAAAAGAUAAAGACAGAGACACAGAGAAGAGAGGGGGGGUGUAUGGAUGGAUGGGUGGAUGGAUGGCUGGCUGGAUGGGGAUGCUGCACGGUUCAGAGAGGAGGAAAAACACGACCUGAAUGAAAGCAGGGGAGUCUUCAGUAGUCUGUAGUAGACUGGUGUAGCUAUUGGCUCGUUGUGGCUCAUUAAGGAGGAGAGCUGUGGAUUCUGAGGAAACAGAAAGGAGAUGUUUCAGGUGUCAGAGGCUGGGCUGAGGGCAGGCUACUACUCGAGCAUGGAGGAGAAGAAGUCAGGGGGGCUUCAGGAGGUCUACAACAGGGCAGGCUUUUAGUACAUCGGCUCUGUCUCACUAUUAUUAGCCUUAUUAGAGAAUAAUCACCCCACCAGCAGGCCUCCACCUCCAAUCUCUGAGACGGACUCCAGACUUCAGUGAGAAACUGUAGCCAGAUUCCCACCUUGUUGUAGUAAUUUUUUUGGUGUGUAUGUGCGUGUGUGUGUCUGUUAGCACGCACGCCUCACACACAGGAAAGCCAGCCAGAGCCCAAAGCGAGUGAGCUCCUCCUCCCCCCUCCCAUUCGGGUUCUCUCUCUCCACCUCCCCCCCCUCCCCGUCCUCCUCUAUGCUCAGUUCGGUGUGUGUCUCCUCUUUCAAAGGGCGCAAGGGUGGGAACAAGUCGUCCAACAAAGCAUGUUACAGCGCCGACAUGACUUGUCCGUCAGACAGCGAGAAGAUCGUGAUCAACUGCGGGGGAAUUCGGCACGAGACGUACCGCAGCACGCUCAAGACACUGCCCGGUACGCGGCUGUCCUGGCUCACAGAACCGGACGCCUUCAGCAACUUCGACUAUGACCCAAAGUCGGAUGAGUUCUUCUUCGACCGCCACCCCAACACCUUCGCCUUCAUCCUCAACUACUACAGAACCGGCAAGCUGCACUGUCCCAGCGACGUGUGCGGCCCGCUGUUCGAGGAGGAGCUCGCCUUCUGGGGCAUCGACGAGACAGAUGUGGAAGCCUGCUGCUGGAUGAACUACCGGCAGCACAGGGAUGCGGAGGAGGCGCUGGACAGCUUCGAAACACCCGAGCCCGAAGUGCCCGAGGACGACCCGGCGCUGACCGGCGGCGCUGACGGCGAUUUGAAGCGCCUCUGCCUGCAGGAGGACGGCAGGAAGCCCAGCUGGUGGAGCAUCUGGCAGCCGCGCAUUUGGAACCUCUUCGAGGACCCGUACUCAUCCAAAUACGCCAGGUACGUGGCAUUUGGCUCCCUCCUCUUCAUCCUCAUCUCCAUCUCCACAUUCUGCUUGGAAACGCACGAGGCCUUCAACACCAUCUACAACAAGACAGAGAAUGUGACGGUGGGAAACGUGACACGAGAGGAGGUGUCGUUUGAGGUGGUGACGGACAGCUGGCUGACCUAUGUGGAGGGCAUGUGCGUGAUCUGGUUCACCAUCGAGGUGUUCACGCGCGUCAUCUUCUGCCCAGACAAGGCCGAGUUCUUCAAGAGCUCGCUCAACAUCAUCGACUUCGUGGCCAUCCUGCCCUUCUACCUGGAGGUGGCGCUGAGCGGCCUGUCCUCCAAGGCAGCUAAGGACGUGCUGGGCUUCCUGCGAGUCGUCCGGUUUGUCAGGAUCCUCCGAAUCUUCAAGCUGACCCGCCAUUUCGUGGGCCUGCGGGUCUUGGGCCACACGCUUCGGGCCAGCACCAACGAGUUCCUGCUGCUCAUCAUCUUCCUCGCCCUCGGGGUGCUCAUCUUCGCCACUAUGAUCUACUACGCCGAGCGUAUCGGCGCCGACCCCGAAGACCCCACGGCCAGCGCCCACACGGCCUUCAAAAACAUCCCCAUCGGCUUCUGGUGGGCCGUGGUCACCAUGACCACUCUGGGCUAUGGGGACAUGUACCCAGAGACGUGGUCUGGCAUGUUAGUGGGAGCUCUUUGCGCUCUGGCUGGAGUGCUGACCAUCGCCAUGCCCGUGCCCGUCAUCGUCAACAACUUCGGUAUGUACUACUCGCUGGCCAUGGCCAAGCAGAAGCUGCCCAAGAAGAAGAACAAGCACAUCCCGCGGGCGCCGCAGCCCGGCUCGCCCAACUACUGCAAGCCGGACGCCCUGGCCAUGGCCACCGCUUCGCCGCACAGAAUCAUGGGUAACGUAAUUGGCGGCAUGGUGGGCUCGGGCAGCAUGGGAGGAGACUGUCCGUUAGCGCAGGAAGAGAUCAUUGAGAUCAACCGAGCGGGUGUGUGGGACUCAAAGCAGAACGGGGACGCUGCAAACGCAGCCCUGGCUAACGAGGACUGUCCCACAAUAGACCAGGUGCUGGGACCAGACGACAGGAGUCCAGCCACCGGCGGGCUGGGCUCUGGGACGGGGCGCGAGCGGUACCCACACGACCGCGCCUGCUUCCUCCUCAGCACCGGAGAGUUCCGCACCACAGACAGCAACGUCAGGAAAGAGAACUAUUCUGAAAGCCCAGUGCUUAUCAGAUAUAUGCAAAAAGAAGCUGUAACUGUGAACUAAUCUAGAACAGAAAACUCCACUCCUUUCACGUAUGCAUUCCUAAACAAACCCCGCCCCUCUUGACCCACAACGCUGUAAUAGUCUCACUGUUGGUCAUUGUUCCCUGAUCUUCUUCCACUCGUCUGUCCUUUCACCCCUGUGAUCAUCCCACCCCGUUCUGUUCUUUCUACAGCAUGUGGAACAGACAACUGUAUCAUGUGUGCUCACCUGAUACACGCCUCUUUUUAUCCAUGUCAGCGGGGGGGCGGUUCCCCACGGCGCCCAUUGGAUACUAGUAGCGGAAACCCUUGAGCUUUUAUCGAGGGGUAAAUUGAUGUAGCAAGUGCUGUCUUAGAGUAGUACAUAAACGUCGGUCACUUUAGCGGAAGUCCUGAAUGUUUACCUGUCCUCAGGUCAGUUACCCUGACCGUCUACGGACCAUUUAAGCACUCAGUUGGGUUGGGUUUAGGAGUCGUCAGAGAUGUCAGCCAGCUACUGGAUGUUCUCUCUUUUUUAGCCAGGGAACAGCCGUCCGUCACCUUAGCCACCACUGUAGAGGGGGAGGGUAAACGACGACAUCAGCGGAGAUGUUGUUAAAGAUGAUGUAGAUGAAGAAGAUGAUGAUGAUGAUGCUGAUAAUAAUAAUAAUGCUACUACUGCCUUCAGCAGUGCAUGUUGCCUCGCAUACUACUGGAAUGCUUAGUGCUGCAUCCUUGUGCAUCUUGUGGUUUUUCUAUAUGCAUAUAUUAGCUAUACUUGCCAGGGGUAGAGCUAGGCUGGGCAGAGCAGGAGGAAACAACUCUUCAUUCCGUCACAGGAAAGAGCAGGGCUUGCGUCUAAUAGUCCAAUAAGCUCGGGUUUAGCGAGUCCCAGGACAGCCAUAACCACAUACUGUAUGUAGCUAGCAGCGCUGCUAGUAGUGAAUGUAAGUAACGUGCAGAAACCAGUCGCUACACAGGAGCUUGUAUCAUUGUAAAGUUAGCCGAUAUAUAUAUAUAUUACUUUCCAUAUUAGUUUUCUUGCCAUUGUUUUAUCGUUUAUUUUGAAAAUCCAUUGGCAGAUACUAAUCAUGACACAUGUAGCUCAGUGGGGGACAAUACUGCUUUCCCUGUGAGAGGCUACGGUUCAAUUCCCUGGCUGGAUUAGCUUGACAUUCCUUACCAGUAUUUGUCCUUAGGCAAAUCAGAAUGUCUACAUUUUACUUAAAACAAGCUCAACCCAUCACAGUAAAAGUAUGUAGAGAUAUAUACAUUGUUCUCAAACACUCUUGAAUUUCUUGAAAGUAAGCAAAAAUAUAAAUUUUGUUCUGAAAACAAGCAAAACUAUGCAUCACUGCUUGAAAAUAAGUAGAAAUAACUAUAUUUUCUCCAAACAGGCAAAACUUUGUGUAUGACUUCAUUCCUGAAAGUAAGCAGAAAUAUCUACCAUUCCUUAAAAGUUAGGAGAAAGAACUACAUUUUCUCAAAAAAAAGUAUCUUUAAAAAGUAUCUUUAUUUUUUGAAAAUUAGCUCAAAUAUUAAUGUUUCUCUUUCUAUUACUUCUAUUAUUUCUAUUACUAACAGUAGGUAGAAAUAUGUAUAUUUCCCAAGACAAGCAAAACUAUGCAUGAAUACUUGAAAUUAAACAGACAUAUCUACUUCCUUCUUUCUUAAAACAAGCAAAACUAUUUGCACAAUUCUUACAGUUAAGCUUAAAUAACUACAUUAUUCUCAAAAUGUGAAACAAUUUGCAUUAUCUCUUUAAAUAAAUGGAUACUGCCAAAAGAAUACUGUCAUUCCACUUGUUAACGACAAAAAAACGUUAAUAUCACUUAUUCCUAUUGUUCAAGAUUGUACAACUUAUGUCAUUAUGUUUUUACUUGCCUUCUUCCAUUAAUACUGUAAUAAGAACGGAAUUGCUUGUUAUCUGCCAGUGAAAAUUCACCAGUAAACAAAACGAUUAAUAUAUAUAUAUGUGUAUUUUUAUAUAUCGACUAGCUUUAAGAUGAUUUUACACUGCUGAGAAAGAAAUUAGCUUUUGCAGUGAAGCUUUUUGAACCUCUCGCUUUUGCUGCUCCUAACAGGGAACACAGUUUAGUGCGGCCAGUUGAAACUCCAUUACCCAUACUCCUCUCUGUCUCUUAUCAACCUAUAUUCCUCCCCUGUCACAACUCAGGUAUAUCUCUCUCUCUUUUUGUGGGUCUUUACCAGUGCUUCCAAAAAAAGAUGUCAUUCAGAAUAAUACAAAAAAGAGAGAGAGAGAGAACGAGGGAGGAAAUGAUGUGAAACGACUGAAAAGAUGGAUUUUCUGUCUCAGCAUGUGCACUUGAAAAAAUAUGAAUGUCAUGGUUUUUUUCGUCCUCAUCACCAAAACAAAAAAAGAUAGUCUUCCUUUUGCCCAACAGUGUCCUUGUGCUGUUUAUUUUUCCUUCACUCUUCUACCAUCAUCCCCUCUCAAUCAGAUCAUUUUAUUACAUUCAUUUGAUUGCAUUGAUUGUUUAUUUUUUAUUUGUAUUAUUAUUUUCUUUUAUUACAAUCUCUAAAAAAACUGCUUCCAAAUGACGACCAAAAUGUCCUGGAUAACAAUCGAGAAAAAAGUGAAAGACAGAAAAAAAUCAAGCAGUUUGUCAGAACCUGAGACUCUGGAUCACAAGCGUCGCGCACACACUCAGGACUGAAGCGCGAGAGCUGAAAGAGUGAGAGGCAGAUGGACAGAUUUGUGUGUGUGAGGAAAAAAAAACGAGUGUGUGUUGAAAGAGGAUUGUCGACAGAGAGGAAGAAAGGCCGCCCGAGAACAGGAGGACAGUUUGGGGAAGACAGGAAGGAGCAAAAGGAAAGAAAAAGAGAGGAGGAAGGAAGGAAGGAAGGAAGCUGCUCGCUUCUCAGUUGCUGAGUUUCUGAACUGACCUCUUUCUCCCUAAAGAAGACUCCCCCUACCUCCCCUCCCACUCACACAGCAUAGCAAAUCCAGAGGCCACCUCCAGAGUCACCAAGAGACUGAGAGAGCUCACAGGGAAAAGAGAGGGAAAGAGAAAGAGUGGAAAAAGCGAGAAAAGAGUCCGGUGUGGUGCUCGUUAACAUAGACGAAACGGGAUCGCUCAUCUCUCCGCUCAUCGAUGCUACCUCGGACUGGAACGAUCAAGCACGCCUGAAAAAUGUGGGACUUCACAUGUUCUUCCAGACUGGAUCACACUGGUUUCAGUCCAGCUCAGCUGUGCUUAUCCGCAUGCAAUUUAAUAUCAAUACAACUCUUGACUUUUCGUUUUAGCAAACCUGCCCGGGUUUUGUGACUGAGUAGAAAACUGGGCAGAAGAUCAUUAGAAUUGGACCACUGUAAGGAUUGUUUUACGAAUCCCUUUGGCUCCUUUUGCAUCUAGGCCAACCACGCAAGCUAAGGCCAGUACUGCUGUUUUGUGAAUUGUGAAGAGCAAAGGAUUGUGUGGAAAGAUCUAGCUCUUUGCACUUUAACCACUUGCUUUAGGUCACAGAUAACUUCAUCCAUGACUUCAAUCAUUCAUGACUGGCAUGGUUUUGUCCAUGUUUGGUCCACCUUGAUGGACCAUCACAUCUCUUGAUUCAAACAUCCUAAAGAAUACCACUUGCACUGCAAACAAGGACAGAUAAACUUCCAUCGAUCAGACUGAUCCUCCAAAAUCCCGUCUGAAGGUUGGGCGCAGUUCGUCUCCAGACCAUCAGACAAUCGCGACUGCGAGCACUACAUGAAAAAGAACAUCAGCGUCUCUUUCUGUCUUUCUUCUCUUUCUUUCUCUAUCUCUCUUCCCACCCCAAAGCCCCCUCCACAUCUCAGUGUUUCUCCUCCUCUGUAGAUGAACUGCAUGGCAUGAAAGAAAUGACGUAAAAAAAAAAACAAAGCAGGAAUAAAACCUGAGGGAGGAGAGUAACAGAAUACAGUGACCCGGGUGGAGAAACGUGAGAUGUUUCUGAUGGAGCAAAAUCGUGCAAAAAAAAAAAAAGAACUGAUGGCUUCUUUCGUACGGAUGGAGGAAUGCUGCGUAGAACAUCAGCCUGGAUCAGGCGUGUCAGGGGAUCAAUGUAAACGAGACAAUGCAUAUCAUCUGGGGAAAGAGGACAAAGCGGCAUAGUUCGCAUCAAGGCAGCGAUCGUGGAACCUGCAGAAGGACGGAGGGGGUUUUCCGGAAAGGCUGGGUGAACUUUGAACUGAACACUUACGAAAAAAAUAACAAAGAAAAGAAUGAAAAUUGAAAAUGCAUUUUUCUGACUUUGUUUACCAGCAUGACUAAACUGCAUGACUCGACUUCUGCAAGCCCCCCAACCCCCAAAAAGAGGGCUUGGAAUUAUUCAAGAGCAAAAUCAUGGGGAAACAAUACAGAUUUAUGUUAUAUGCAAUUCAAUUUAGGGUAAAAAAAAUACAAACAGUUAUAUUUAAAAAAAGAUAUUCUAUAUAUAUUUUUUUUAAUACAAAAAAUACAAAAAGAAUAAAGGAAAAAAAGAAAUAGGAUUACAAGAUACAGUCAGAACUAUGCUUUAUUAGAUAUAAGAUACCCCAACCAAUUCUUAGCUGAUUGGUGAGAUUUUACCAUUGAAACUGUUCCUUCUACGACUUCAGCUGUGUCCCUCCUCCACUCUCUCUGCCCCUCCCUGCUCUCCAGCUCUCCUGACUCUUUGUUCUGCCACUGGCUCCUGCAGUCCGUGACGGACAUCACAUUCUCCUGUGGUCGGUCUGUGUCUUUGCUGCCCUCAGCAAUCCCGGUGCAGCUGCUUUGGAGGGCCUAAAGCUCAUAGGUGUACGCGAGGGUCUCGGGUGACUUCUUCAUCCAGUCUGAGAUCCUUCAGAAAGUGUGUCAAGUCGAGUCAAGUUUUUGUCCUGGGUUGUAACUGCAUAUCACUGCAGUUUACAUUUUAUCCGCACAUGAAACCAAUGGACUUUUGAAUUUUUGUUCAUGUCAGAAGUUUUGUUUAUCAUUUUUUGUCUAGCUUUUGGGGGCACAGAUUCCAGGAGGUCCUUCCUAGAUGGUAAAGCACUCACCUCGGCCAAUAGGUUCUCAGGAGAACAAUGCAGUUUUGAACUGUCACUGCAGUUGCGAGUCAUGUUCGCUUUGAAUGUGUAGAGCUGGCCGCAGAGAUUGGGCUUUGGGUGCUUCUGGCUUUUGGCAAGAUCUUAAGUAGAGGUUAUUUGUUAUCUUCUAAACCAGGCUUAGUUUAUUUUAAGUAAGAAUUCCUUAGUGUGACAAGGUAAUAAAGAACAUAUUGCAGUAUGUUAAGAGUUAUGUACAUGUGAGAACAUCUGAAUUCCACUGAAUGAAUGAUUGCAUCCUGGUGGAUUGAGCCAAGACUGAGCCAAGAUUGAGCCAAGAAAGGUGCUUUUCGAGUCUUCCUUAUCAGCUCCUUGGUUAAGGCUAAUAUCCUCCAGAUGAGGAUGGGAAUGGAAUGGAGCUAAUGGCUCAACAGAGUGGAUCAAAGAUUGGUUUAAGUUGCUUUCCUUAACAUUCUCUCAACAUUGAGUUCCUCUUGACUCAAAAGUUCCUAAAUGCUCUUCAUCACUAUGCGUCAGCAGGAUCAGGCCAGGUUGGGAACUGAGUUGAGUAACUAAUGUACCUAUGCAAGACUGUUGCAAGACACGUCACUCACCAAGGCAGCAUACUCAGGCCAGUAAGAGUACACAGGCGACUACAUCCCAAGGUCCGAAGAGAGCGUAGGUCCAGCCAAAAAGGGCUACACAAACCAGAGCGGCCGUUAACCAAAGCAGUGGGUCAGCAGAGACUGGAACGCUGGGGGCAGCUGAGCAGGAGUCCAACGUUUAGCUAUGUUCUCUCAUCCUCAGUUCUUCAGGCCUACCAUAAGCCUCCCACUCUCUUUCUUCCUUAAUAGUCACACAUAUAAUGAACACAUCAUCGAUGUAUGUAGCUGAAAGCGGAAGCAUUUCAUUAGAUACUGGCCUGAGAAUCAUGAAAGGAGCUGGGGGUCGCUUCUCGCAGAGCGAUUUGUUGUAGGGUCGACGAGGCAAGAACCUCUUAGGAAGGGCAUCCUAGAAGACAUAGGGAGAAUAGACUGUUUCCAAUCACAUGAGGAUAUUUUAUCAAUGCCAUUCAGUCAGAGCAAUAAUUUGGUGCGAUUCCACCCCGCUCUCAGAUUCCAUUCCAUUCACAAUAAGUCAGAUUUUCCGGUGUGCCUGAGAGAUGAGAUUGCAUUUACGACUAUUUUUUUUUCCAUGUCUUGCGUUUAGCCACGCCAACAAGCGAAGCUUUGAAUGAGCGUACGCAUGUUUGCGUGUGUGUUUGUGUGGCUGUCCGACUGAGUUUCUGAUCGGGCUAUUUAACUCAAAGGUGCAGAGUAGUGAGACCACUCCCCCUGACCCCACCCCCCUAAAGAUGACUGACAGCUCAACACUUGCAUAACUUGUACUUGAAACCCAAAUAUCAGAACAUAUCAGAGAGGAUCAGAACAAAGCCAGAAUCAGUCUUCACUUUUUCUCUUUCCUGUAUGCAUUCCUCUUCUUCUUCUUCUUCCUCCUCCUUCUCCUCUUCUUCUUCAUCCCCCUCUCUCUCCUCAGCUCCUGUGUCCUUCUCUAUUUUUGAGAAAGAAGCUCUUUUGCAUCCCUUGUUCUUGUGUUUUUCUAUCAUAUUGUUUGAAGUUGAAUUAUACUGCAUGCAUGGGAUAAAAAAGAAGACUUUAACUUAUUUGUGAAUGGUCAGAAUGAGGUAACCAUCUUCUUCUCCUGGACCCUCUGUCCGUCUCUCGCUUUGAUUUGGCUUUGGAGAAACAAAAGGCAAAUAUCAAUGACGAAAUUAAUUAAUCAAUGAAUUAAUCACCUUUUUCUGAUAAAAUAAGCAAAAAAAAAAAAGAUAUAAGCUGUUUAAAGUUACAGAACAUUGCUCACAGGUUAUAAGCAAGAAUUGUGGCCAUUGCUGUUUAGAACGUUGCUCAAACCAGCUUCCCCAAUCCUAAACAAAUCCAGUGAGCAUGUUCAUUCUACUAUGGGAGAUGUGGUGGACGCCCAUAGCUGCUACUUGAACUCAUUAAGCAUUUUUUAUUCUUCUAUUCUUCGUUCAAACUGCACUUCAUACCACAAUUAUAUAAAAUUUAUAUAUAUGUUAAUACGCAGAAAGAUAUAUAUAUAUAUAUAUAUAUAUACACACACAUAUAUACAUUGCACUUUAAAGUCAGUCGCCUGCUCAGCACUGCUCUGCAAUUUUCAUUCAUUUUAAGUUGAGUUAAAUCAUUGAAUCAAAUCGGGAGAGUUCACUGCACUUCCACUGCUGAUAACUAUAAAACACCAUUGCCUAUGAAUAUAUAUAUAUAUCGAUAUCUGUUUAAUUCCAGUUGGUAAAGCCAUAGUUAGUGGCACACCCUGAUAUCUGACCCGUACACCGACCCUGAAAUCCCUUCUCAGAGAGACGCGACAAAGGAGAGAACAGAGAGAAAAAGAUGGUUACAAAAAUGACGGAUGGUUGAUGCUAUUAAGACCGAUGCUGGACACAAUUUUAAUGUCAAUACAAAAAGAAAAAAAAACAACAGAAGUGUAUAAAAUAUAUUUCAAUGGAAUGUUUAUUAUUUACCUUUUAUAUUUUUGAAACAUGUAAAGAAAAAAAAUAAAUAAACUGUAAUAAUUUAACAGUUUGAGGAAAAACUGAGACUUAAAACAUUAUACUAAUAAAGGUAUGAAUGUUUGAAGGUGAAUGCUAACCUACCUGAUUAAAGUUUUCUUCAUUACAAAUAGGAAAAAAAUAAACAUCAAAUGGUCAAAAAUAAAGGAAAAAAUGAAAGCUCCAUUUAAAAAGAAAAGCCUAUAAAAAAUCUAUAAAAAUAAUAAAAGCUCAUGCCAAAAUUU